UGUCAUAUGCUUGUCUCAAAGAUUAAGCCAUGCAAGUGAACUAAGUAUGAGACUCUAUACGUCGAAACYGCGGACAGCUGGGCAAUCAGUUGGAAUCUCCGUGGCCAUCCCUACUCCGAAGUGGAUAACAUCGGAAAAGCUGAUGCUAAUACGUGCUGUAAACGAGGGCAACCUCGGCACUUAUUAGAUUAAGCCUCCCGCCUUCGGGCGUUUGGUGAAUCAUAAUAAUUCAGCGGAUCGCACGCCUUGAGCGGCGACGGGCCACUCGACCUUCUGCUCUAUCAAGUACCGUUGGUAGGAUCGGGGCCUACCAAGCUUGUGACGGAUACGGGGUUUUAGGGAACGACUCCGAAGAGAAAGCAUGGGAUUCAGCUUUCAUUUCCAAGGAAAGCAGCAGGCGCGCAAAUUACCCAAUGCCCACAGGGCGAGGUAGUGACAAGAAAUAUCGAUGCGUGGCUUUUCAGUCAUGCAAUCGAAAUGAGUACAAUCUAAAAACCUUAACGAGGAGCUACAGGAGGGAAAGUCUGGUGCCAGCAGCCGCGGUAAUUCCAGCUCCUGAAGCGUAUGCAAAUGCUGCUGCAGUUAAAAAGCUCGUAGCCGGAACUCGGCGUAGCUUCAGGGUUCCCCAACAUUGUUGGGGUGACCCUUAGGGCUGCGCUUAUGCACGCGGAACUACGGGCCCAUUCAUUUGGGUUCGCAGGAAAACGYGCCGUUUACCAUGAGUAAAUGGGAGUGUUCAAAGCAGGCGUAAGCCUGAACUUUUCAGCAUGGGAUAAUAGAAUAAGACUGCGUCUUAUUUCGUUGGUUUGCAGGACAGCAGUAAUGAUUAAUAGGAGUGAAUGGGGCGAUUUGUAUUCCUUGGGGAGCGGUGAAAUGCGCAGAUCCAAGGAGGACAUCCGGAAGCGAAAGCGUUUCGCAAGUUCAUUUCCAUUGGUCAAGAACGAAAGCUGGAGGAUGGAAGGAGAUUAGACACCUCUGUACUUCCAGCCGUAAACGAUUCGGACUCGGGAUCGGUGAGCGAGUCUUUUCCCCAUCGGUAUCGUAACAGAAAUGAAAGUUUUUGCGUUCUGGGGGGAGUAUGGUCGCAAGGCUGAAACUUAAAGGAAUUGACGGAAGAACACACAAGAAGUGGAUACUGCGGUUCAAUUUGACUCAACACGGGGAACCUCACGCGUCCAAGACACAGGUAGGAUUGACAGAUUGAAAGCUCUUUCUUGAUUCUGUGGAGAGUGGUGCAUGGCCGUYCUUAGUUCGUGGAGUGAUUUGUCUGCUUGAUUGCGAUAACGAACGAGACCUCCGCCUGCUAAAUAGCGCUGCGAAUCACGUAUUCGUAGACGCUUCUUAGAGGGACAACCACCGCAAGGUGGGGGAAGCUGGAGGCAAUAACAGGUCUGUUAUGCCCUUAGAUGGAUGCGGCCACACGCGUUAUACAUUGAAGGAGUGAAUGAGUAGAACCUGGCUCGGAAGGGUUGGGUAAUCUUGGAAACUUCUUCGUACUGGGGAUUGCUGCUUGAAAUUUUUCAGCAUGAACGAGGAAUUCCUAGUAACUGUACGUCAUCAACGUACGGUGAUUACGUCCCUGUUCUUUGUACACACCGCCCGUCGCUCGAUCCGAUUGGAUGUAAUGUCGAGUUUGACAGAUGUGCAGGGCUCACGCCCCGCGCAGAAGUUACGCAAGAUUUGCAUCUAGAGGAACGAGAAGUCGUAACAAGGUAGC
rnacentral:rRNA from 1 species